rnacentral:rRNA from 1 species
GACGAACGCUGGCGGCGUGCCUAAUACAUGCAAGUCGAACGCAGUGGGGACGGGUGAGUAACACGUGGGUAACCUCCCAUCAGAGGGGAUAACACUUGGAAACAGGUGCUAAACCGAUACUGAUGGAUGGACCCGCGGUGCAUUAGCUAGUUGGUGAGGUAACGGCUCACCAAGGCCACGAUGCAUAGGCGGCCUGAGAGGGUGAUCGGCCACACUGGGACUGGGACACGGCCCAGACUCCUACGGGAGGCAGCAGGGGGGAAUCUUCUGUCAUGGACGAAAGUCUGGCCGAGCAACGCCGCGUGGGUGAAGAAGGUUUUCGGAACGUAAAACUCUGGUUGUAGGGGAGCGGGAUCUAACCAGAAAGGCACGGCUAACUACGGGCCAGGAGCCGCGGUAAUAC